rnacentral:tRNA from 1 species
GGGGAUUUAGCUCAGUGGUAGAGCGCUUGCCUAGCAAGUGCAAGGCCCUGGGUUCGGUCCCCAGCUUCA